rnacentral:tRNA from 1 species
GCGGGUGUAGUUCAAUGGUAGAACCGGAGCUUCCCAAGCUUCUAAUGAGGGUUCGAUUCCCUUCACCCGCUCCA